GGCAAGAUUCUGGGACUGAGAGUAGAAAAUAAGCUCAAGAACUAAGGUAAAAGUCUUCUACUGACUGCCUCCUUGAAAAAGCCAAGUUACAGCUAUUUUCAAGUUCAAUGGUCAAAAACUUUUGAAGUAAACCCAGGGAAAAUACUCUGAUUGAUCUUGGCAUUUUCCGGCAGAUCCACUUUCUGGGUCCCACCUGGUUCUAUAUCAUUAUUAUCUGGCUGACUUUUCAUCCUCACCAGACUGUGAGCAAGUCAAAGAAGAAGACCAAGCCCUGAGCUUGAACUGUGUGGUUGAGAAGAAAGAAGCGGCAUUCCCCCUCUGUUGUCAAGACGUCUAAAGUGAGAAGAUUUUCAGAGGCUCGUUCCAGCAUGUAAAAGAGAGAGACGACUGUCCAAUGAGCCUCGUCUUCUUGUGAACAUGGAUAUGGAUCCUUGCCUCAAAUAGCACCAAAGUUCAUGUGACCAUUCCAUAUGAAGAAAGACCCUUUGGAUGACUGACCGCCUAAGAGCAGAAGGACUUGGGGAAGGAGCUUAUGUUUCAGAAUGAAGAGCCCUAAAGUAAGUAGCAGCAGUUAAGAGUUACAUGUAGAUGUGAAGAAUUCUAAAAGUGAAAGGAAAACUGCAAA